AGACAUGCUUCAAACUUUUAUUUUGGGCAUCAAAUCCAGCACCCGUCAAAAACUUCUCAGAGGCCCAGCCUUCUUGGAGGUCCAAAUCUGAUAUGGACACACCCAGCUACAAUUUUUUCUUUUCUUUUUUUUCUUCAAUCCUCCUCCUUUUUUUUUUUUCGUGCUUCGUCAGUUCGUCUUAUCCCAAACCGAGUGGAACAUGAGCUUGACAUUGAUCUCCUGCGGGGUGGAAUUGGAGAUGGAUUUGAAGACACAAUCUGACUUGAAGGAGUUGAAAUUGGGGGCUGGAAUAGAACCCGUGUGGAAGACGAGAUCGUGGCCGGCUUCACAGGAGCAGAAAUUCCAACGUCCUGCUGCAAUUGGCUUCUGGGAGAAUUUCGUGUAUAAGGCGAGGACAGCAGCUGCAGUUAAGAUCCCAGAGUAUCAAUUUGAGGGACAGUUUGACGUGCAGGUGUAAACAAAAGCAGUAAUUAUCAGAGCCUCAAAGGCCUUUCGAAGCUUUAUUUUUUAAAGGUGGCCGGAGACGAGAACGACGACUAUAGUGUAGCCAAGUUUCAGACCUCCUGGAUUUAAACUCAAGGAAUUUCGUUUAUUAUUUUAUAUUGAACCAAGACCCUUUACGGAAGAGAGGCCUGGAUGGUGAUUCACAAAGUACCCUCUGCCAGUUUUGGUGUAUUAAACUGCUGAAACAUGAGGAUGAUAACGGCACCCUAAGGCACGCCGUGUCAAAGUUCUGAAAACAGUAUUGGCACCGUAAGGCACCGCCACCGGAGCUUUGAAAGCAGUUUCGGCACCCUAAGGCACGCCAAGUUGAAGUUCUGAAACAGUAUUGGCACCGUAAGGCACCACCACCGGAGCUUCGAAAGUAGUUUCGUCACCCUAAAGCACGCCGAAUGAAGCUCUGAAACAGUAUUGGCACCGAAAGGUACCGCCACCGGAGCUUUGAAACUGGUAAAACCAUAAAGAGAUGCAGACAGAUUCUCCACCUUUGAUUCCUAUUGAACACGCUGCGGCUUCUUCUCCGUCUCCUUUGCUUUCCUUCUCCUUCUGCUUCUGUUUUUUUUCUGUUUUUUUGUGGCACGGCCCUCUUGUCCUCUUAUAUAAUGCACUGAUGAUCUAAUUGAGUUCUAUAGAGCCUCUUGUGUUUGAUA